AUUCAGCUGACGAGUCCGAUGUAGGACGAAACACGCGUCCUGGAU
rnacentral:hammerhead_ribozyme from 3 species